rnacentral:rRNA from 1 species
UAAUACGUAGGUGGCAAGCGUUGUCCGGAAUUAUUGGGCGUAAAGCGCGCGCAGGCGGUUUCUUAAGUCUGAUGUGAAAGCCCACGGCUCAACCGUGGAGGGUCAUUGGAAACUGGGGGACUUGAGUGCAGAAGAGGAGAGCGGAAUUCCACGUGUAGCGGUGAAAUGCGUAGAGAUGUGGAGGAACACCAGUGGCGAAGGCGGCUCUCUGGUCUGUAACUGACGCUGAGGCGCGAAAGCGUGGGGAGCAAACAGGAUUAGAUACCCUGGUAGUCCACGCCGUAAACGAUGAGUGCUAAGUGUUAGAGGGUAUCCACCCUUUAGUGCUGUAGCUAACGCAUUAAGCACUCCGCCUGGGGAGUACGCUCGCAAGAGUGAA